UUUUAAUAGCUUAUUUAGAGUAUAAUAUUGAAGAUAUUAGGGUAGUUUUUAACUUUAAAAUAA
rnacentral:tRNA from 1 species